rnacentral:misc_RNA from 1 species
CGAUUAGAGAAUGUGUUCCGAGGUUGCUUUAUUGCGCAUGUGCGUUGCCGGGCGAAUGUAACAAAAUGGCGGCAGAGUAUAUAGAGCAUAGCCGGGCCGGGCGACGACCAUUUAUAUUCGAACGUGCGAUUGCGUGAAUUGUCGGGCGCGCAGAGAGCAUAUGAAUGUCAGUAACUUGUCUCCAUUAUGGCGUAUCUCGAGGAAGAGCCGUUCAACGAACGUAAAUUGGACGCUGCCCAUUUGAUCGACAAAUUGGACUGGGUUCCUUUCUCCUUAACGCUCGUCGAAUAUCCACAAGGUGAUCUGUUGGGCAAACUUUUAGCUUUAAUAAGCCUAACUCCAUUUGCCAUUAUCGCUGGAUUUGUGGCAUUGGUUUUAUUCAGGAGAGAUUUGCAUACGAUUACAUUCUUUGGAGGGAUUACUAUUAAUGAGGCCAUCAACUUUUUCUUGAAGCAUACAUUAUGCGAGGAUCGACCGAUGAAACGUGCUACGAUAUAUAUUGAAUAUGGCAUGCCAUCCUCGCAUUCGCAAUUCAUAUGGUUUUUUGCAGCAUAUACGACACUCUUUGUCUGCAUUAGGUUGCAUUACAAUAAUAACUCUGUCUCUGAGAGGUUCUGGCGAGCCACGCUCAUUGCAAGUUGCAUCGUAUUAGCAGUUACCGUGUCAUACAGCAGAACUUACCUGGAAUAUCAUACGAUGGCACAGGUACUUUGUGGCGCUAUUAUUGGCUGCGUUUUUGGAGUAACAUGGUUUGCCAUAGUUCAUCUAAUUUUGACGCCAUUCUUCCCAGUAAUAGUAACAUGGCGAUUAUCAGAGUAUCUCCUCCUACGGGACACAACACUCAUUCCUAACGUACUUUGGUUCGAGUACACGAACAUUCGUGCCGAGGCCAGAGCUAGGUCUCGAAAGCUUGUCUCCAUGAAAUCUCAAUGACGGAUGAUGGUCAAUCAAUGGAAUAAUAGUAAAUAAUUGAUGCAUGUGUGAAUCGUGGACAGAAAUGGUGCAGGCACUGCAACUGGUUAUAACUAUUUCCUUGAUCGGUAAAUUGGUAACCAGUCAUCGGAGCAAGUUUAGAAUCGACUUGUAAACAGGAUAACCGACUGAAUAGUCUUCGUGUAAGUAUUGAAGACAAAUUGGGAAGAGAAACUGCAGAUGUAAAGAGUUGUAGGAUGAUCUAGUGCUCUAGAUUUGGAGGAGCCACUUCGGAACCUCUUAAUCUUUAGAUUCAAUGGUUUCCAAUCGAUAGUGCUGUACUGAUUUAUCCGGGGUAAUUCGCCUCUUGAACUGAUGAACAGUCGACUGUAUAAUAAGUAGAGAACGGCCUUACAUAGAUAUUUAUUCGAGAAAUUGUCAAUAAGUAACAUAGAUCACUUUGUUUCUAUUCGAUAUUAGUACAAUACCAUGCGGAUAAGGCUGAUAAAUUUAGGGUUUGUAGAGUAGGUUUAAUUAACUGCGUAUACCCUGUCUUGGUAUUGGGUAGAUAAAACGAUAGUUAAUAGACUUUUAUAUACGUACCUCGAGUAAGAGGUAAUGGGUACGGACCAGGAAAUGGUGUAUUUAUUGUGGUUAAAAUAUUUUCUUAAAAAGACAAAUGUGGAGAAGUAAAACCUGAGAGAAAAGCGUAUUUUCCCGUUUCGUUCUCGUUAACGCAAAUGUUAAAAUCAAAACUUACCUCGUUAAGUAGAAGUGUUUUUUUCCUUCGAUAGGGAUGCCUCUGCCAUGGGCGUUUUAAAUGCAGUGAAAAUUAAUACAGUUUUUUAUUGACUAACGGGAAAUAUAUCGAGCUUGGGACAAAGUGCACUUUUGAAAGUUGUCAGCAAGAGAUUUAUUUAUUCGGAUUAAAAGUGACCGCAAGCUUUUUACUACAUGUACUGAUGUGAUAAAAAAUAUUUUUCAUUCAGUCAGACGUGUACACGUUUGUACAUAGAAUUACUGUAAAUCUUUCACCGAUCACUAGGAUAUAUAUAUACGUUUCUGUAGUUUCUAUCUAACAAGAUCGUUUGUUGACGUCUUUCCAAAGCAAGAAUUGAUCUUUUUAGGGUUUUACCGAUUGCCGAGUAAAUUCCUUGGACCCGAGGUGGCCAUUUUGAAUAAAAUUGUUUGGUGGCACAACUCAUAAGGGAUCAACUUGUAUCUGAGCGACGAUGCCGAGAUUUGUACCGAGCAAUAUUCUGCGGGAAAAAAAAGAAACAGUAUUUAGUAGCCCAAGUUUCUGCGAAAAUUUUCAUAGAAAUUCGAACGAAAAGCGGGGACAAGGGAGAUGCGAUGAAUACGAUGAAUACGCGGUUUUUCGACGAAUUUAUUAGAAUUGUAAAUACAUAUACCGCGCGAACACUUUGUAAAAUGAGAUUAUAACAAUAUGAAGUACUCAUAGGGUAGAUUUCGCAGGAUGUUCGUCGGUGAUUUCCCCCUUAACGAUGUAAGCUCUAAAAAUAGGCCCACUCUCUUGGGACAGACCAUAUAAAUUUUUAACCCUGCGGUUUGUCGUACACCGUACUGAUUGUAAAUACUUAUUCAUGGCGUUUGUUAAAUCGGCAAUUGUAACCGACUUUUAUAAGACGGCGGUUGAUUUAUCAAAAGAGCUGCCGAUAGAAGACCCGUUGUUAUAUAAGAGAAAAGAAUUUUAUUCCAUUGAUAGACUUCGGGUUUACGGUUCAUGGUGUUUUGUAAAAAGCGAUGCAGAAAUAAAAAUAUCUAAACGGGUGACGUUAAGCUUUAACGUCACUUAGCGCUCUCAAA